rnacentral:rRNA from 1 species
UACGUAGGGGGCAAGCGUUGUCCGGAAUCAUUGGGCGUAAAGCGCGUGUAGGCGGCUGAGUAAGUCUGCUCUGAAAGCCCGGGGCUCAACCCCGGGAGGCGGGUGGAUACUGCUCAGCUCGAGUCCGGAAGAGGAGUGUGGAAUUCCCGGUGUAGCGGUGAAAUGCGCAGAUAUCAGGAGGAACACCGGUGGCGAAGGCGGGUCUCUGGGCAGUAACUGACGCUGAGGAGCGAAAGCGUGGGGAGCAAACAGG